AUAGCUUCUACCCAAGAUCAAGCGCAGUAUUUGUGCUCACCAGUGUAAUACCUGGUACACCCCUCAUUUGAGGACAAAGUAGUAAGUGGGUUUUGGGAGCAGGGAGAUGAAGUGAGAGCUUGCUCCAGUGGCACUCAGGGCAGUAACUGAUGGUUACCCCCAAGGGAACAACACCAGAUGACUGCAUGUAGU